GAAACAAACAUAGCGGAACCACCAUGGCGAUCCGAAAUACGGUGGCAGUAUUCUGCUUGGUAAGAACAAAAACCAUAUAAAUUACCAUCCGCAUUAUCAAGUCAUGUUUCCGAAACACAAAUAAAUGAAAACGAAUGGCUAAGUGAGUCAGUGAAUGCUGAGAUGGAAUCGUUGUUCUUGCGCACACUUCACGCAUUGAUAUGAAGAACAGAGGUAUUAGACGAUGUAAGCAAUGGUUUGACUUCAGCGGGUGAUAGCAAAGACAUGAUGGAAAGUAUUCGGGGACGAGUGUGCAAUCAAUCCACAGGACAAGAAAUGUAGCGAUAAGCUAAGCCUACAAAGAUGCGAAAAUCGGC
rnacentral:lncRNA from 1 species